rnacentral:pre_miRNA from 1 species
CAAGUACUCCCUCCAUCCGGAAUUACUUGUCAUCAAAAUGGAUGUGUCUAGAACUAAAAUACAUCUAGAUGCAUCCAUUUCAAUGACAAGUAUUUUUGGACGGAGGGAGUACAAG